AUGUCGCAGGAACGAGAUUGGUCGUCUCUCCCGGUGGACCUGCUUAUCCUCAUCCUGAAGCGUCUGCGGUGGUCGAGCCACCCGAGUAUCGCCUUGGUGUGCCGACAAUGGAGCUCGGCCAUGUCGCCCUUCUAUCCGGUGUGGAUCACCCCGCUCCUGCUAAACACCACCGACGUCGGAACCACCAAUGUCCGCUACUACAGUCCCUACUUCCAGAAAAACUUCGAGAUUGGCGACACCCUAGAGGCACCUGACGCCAAGAUCUGUUACGCCAACGGAAGGUACCUAACACUAUGCAUGUCAAAGCAAAUCCUCAAAGUUGACCUUCUGACCGACGACUUCUACCGUCUCGCACCGAUUUCUCAGAGGUUCGAACAUAUCAUCUACGAUGGUAUGGGCAAGAUGUUCGGCAUCAGUACGCUUGCCGUCCAAGUGAUUGCUUGUUGCAUGCAAAACAGCGACGGGGUGUGGGAACAUUGGGAGUACUCCUACCCCGACAGGACAAAGUUCACGGCGUCACCAGGGUCCAACCCUGUGCUCCACCACGGCUUGAUCUAUCUACUAUUAGAAGACGGAAGAUUAGCCGUAUGCGACGAGCGCAGACACGAAGAAGGAUUUGAAAUUCUUGAGAAGCCACGGGGUUUCGGGUUUGUAUACGAAGACAGCUACUUGAUCGAGUCCGGCCAGGGCGAGCUGAUGGUCGUCCUCAUCGGCCGACGCGGGUCACCUGUCGACGUCUUCAAGCUCAAUGGACCCACGAUGGAGUGGGACAAGAUGGAGAGCCUAGAUGGCAGGGCUUUGUUUACGGGCACACUCACGACCAUAAUGAAGAAGACUACCAUCAAGUCAGAUGCAGAACAAGAUCUUCCUCCCAAGACUCUAUGA
rnacentral:rRNA from 1 species